GCCAUGGAAAAGGCCUUCUUUUUCUAGUAUCAUGGAAUCCUUGAAGCCUCUAAUCAAGACUCAGUCACCUCAACCGUUACAUUCUGAUAUGUCUAGUAUCCAAUAGCCAGAUGAUUGCAUAUUCCUAAGAGAGAUGUGUAUUGUAUCUAUUCUACUUGUCAAAAAGGGUCCCCUUCAAAUUUUGCCUGUCAGAGGAUCAGUGCCAAUGAAGCUGCUGCCAGUUUUCAUUGCAUCACCGCCAACACGAUCGAUCUAAUCAGCUAUAGAUAUUUUUCAGUAAAUUGAAGUUCCAUUCGCGUUUAUAUGUAUAUUUUGUUUAACCUAGGUGCAUUAUAUUUUUAUCCGAG